rnacentral:tRNA from 2 species
UGGCGCGUAGCUCAACUGGUCAGAGUCACACCAAGCGGUGAAGGCUGCGGGUUCGAGUCCCGUCGCGCAG